ensembl:lncRNA
CACACACACACAGACACACAGAGCUUUCGCUUUUCCGCUUUCCUAGCCGUGAAUACUUGACGUCUGCGCAAUGCGUCUGCAAAAGCGCAGGCGCUGCGUGUGACGUAAGCGAGAGGCGACCAAUGGUGUUGUAGAUGUACGCAGGAAUAUUUGCGCAGUUGCAUAGUGAAGGGUGCAGCCAUUAUUUUUUGGUGCCUCACUGUUAACUACAGGUUGUAGACUAAGCUGAAAAAGAAAUAUACCUGAUACCGCGAAUAUUUCGCUAAGCUCUUUCUUAGCUCUCAAUAAGCAGAGAUUUCUGAGCACUUUUUAUUUUUUAUUUUUCAGGGAAGUACACGCGGGAAGCCUGAGGAGAGUCUGGAGACUGUUUGUGCGUAGUUUUGAACCGCACCGUAACACGGAACUAUAACAUUAUUAACACGAACUGUUUGACUCCCAGUGUAGUGAUGGACGUGUCGCUGAAAAUCGAGUCAUCUGAAAGUGUUAUGCCUCCAUCCUGCGAUGAAAGUCCAGCUGCAACUGAGUCGACUGCGAGCAUUUCUUCUGUAACUGCGGCUCAUCAUGUGGAGCAGCUCAAGGAGCCGACCCCUGUGUUCCUUUACCCUAUCAGUAUAAACAGUCCUGUAUCUGUAUUUAGAGACCAGAAGGUACCCCAUGCUGUUAGAAGGGAGGAAGCAAGAAAAGGUACUGCGGCACGGGGCUACCCUGAAGCAGUGUCUACCUCAUCCGAGUUCACCCACCGUGCUAUUGUGCACCUCAUUGAAGCGAUGCAUCGUUGCUGGGACGUGUAUGGCUCCCAUGAACGCUCUCGUCUCUUCCAGAAUGUCCAGAAUGAGCUGGAGAACCUUGGCCACUUGCUGCCAGUAGAAAAGAUUAGAAGAAAAUGGAACAACCUCAUUGUCACAUACAAGAGAGUAAAAGAG